rnacentral:rRNA from 1 species
AUUGAACGCUGGCGGCAUGCCUUACACAUGCAAGUCGAACGGCAGCACGGGAGCUUGCUCCUGGUGGCGAGUGGCGAACGGGUGAGUAAUACAUCGGAACGUACCCAGGAGUGGGGGAUAACGUAGCGAAAGUUACGCUAAUACCGCAUAUUCUGUGAGCAGGAAAGCGGGGGAUCGCAAGACCUCGCGCUCUUGGAGCGGCCGAUGUCGGAUUAGCUAGUUGGUGAGGUAAAAGCUCACCAAGGCGACGAUCCGUAGCAGGUCUGAGAGGAGGAUCUGCCACAAUUGGGCUGGGACACGGCCCAGACCACUAAGGGGGGCAGGAGUGGGGAAUUUUGGACAAUGGGGGCAACCCUGAUCCAGCCAUGCCGCGUGAGUGAAGAAGGCCUUCGGGUUGUAAAGCUCUUUCGGCGGGGAAGAAAUGGCAACGGCUAAUAUCCGUUGUUGAUGACGGUACCCGCAUAAGAAGCACCGGCUAACUACGUGCCAGCCGCCGCCGUAA